CGCAAAUAAAACGUUUAAAAAUACAUAAUCGCUGUAUAAAACCUCCUUCUUAACACGUGUAUUUGUUAUUAUGAUAAUCUGUGACCUGAACUGUCAAAAAAGGCGCGAACGUGUUAUAGUUUUUAAUCUGUGACAUUUGAUCUGUCAAAAAGCGCGCGUAGAUGCAGGACAACGAUUGGUUCGCUUCUGCCCGGUCGUUAUGACAGCAUACGAUAAGUAACAAGUGACGUGUCACUUGAUAUUUCGAUCUGUCAAAAUGUGAAAGAGACAGAAGAUAACGUUGGAGGGGGACGGAGCAAUCGCGUGCAUGUUCCAUUUCCAUAUCCUACUUGCGGCGGAAGUGCGUAACACGCGCACCGGCACUGACGUCACGCUGCCCGAGGACACCGGAAGUGGACCGUGGCGCCGCACGCCGGAACCGGAUGUCGGCGCACGAUAUCGCCUUGCCGGGGAUUUCCACGGAAAAUCGAAACUUACGCAAAAUCUAGAUCCAAGAUCACGCUCAAAUUAUCUCCUAUCUGUGAGGAGGUGGUGAAAAUUGUCCCAAGCUUGCAUUUGUGAUGGCAACCGGUUAAUGGUGGGAGGCUAACGGUGGCUAAAAAGGCAAUAUCAGGAGAUAACAUCGAUAGCCGUCGGAACAGUUCGGCAGUUCGGCACGUAAGUAGGCUGUGAAAAUAGCCGCCCGUAACGCUGUGCGUACAUACUACGGUGAGUGAUGCAUGUAGUAAAGGAAGAAGUGUCGGUUUUGAUUUAAUUUCACUAAAUUCGAAAAAAAUAAAUGUUUUGUCACUUGCUAAAAAUUAAGUCCAAAAUGUUUAAUGACCUUUUUGAAAAUCACUGCUUUUGUGCAAUUUCACUAGAUACAUUUUACCUUAAUACCUAUAGUCAAUUUCUUUUUCAUGGCGAAGGUAUUUAAAUGUAACAAUAUUCUUUAUAAGAUAUAAUAAAGUAUAUAUAGGUAUACUAUGUUCCGAGUAUGUUUUGCAACCACGUGAAGUUUCAAGUCUUGUGUUUCAGAUAAAAUUAAUUUCUUCAAAAUUCCAUCUAAAUCAAUUGAGUUAGCCUUAAAAUUUACGAAAUGAGAAAACAAACAACUCUUUUGUCCAUUUAAGCUAUUAAUUAUAUAAAAGUCCACUAUCUCUUUAACAUUUUUUCCUUUCUUUCCUCUAGUGUAUCUAAGAAUGUACACUCACUAAUGUGAGACGGGUGUGUACAGGACAUCUGGUAGUGUCGACAGGCCCGGCAUAGUAAUAGGCCUCUUGUGACAAUCGCUCGACUUUCCAUCGGCAUUUCGUAUGCGAGUGACGCCGCGGGACUAACAAUAACCGCGCUGGACACGCUCAGCUGAACGCUGCUUUUAUUAAAACGAUAUCUUUUUUUGAUUUCCAGGUCGGUGUAAGGAAAUAGAAGAAGAUAGGCUUAGGAGGAAAACUUUUAAAUUUGGAUUUGUCAAAGGUAAAGUAAGGCGUAUUCUCUUAAAAUAAAUGUUUUUUUUUUUACCUAAACUACACUAAAACUCCCAAAGUUACCGAAUCACUCGAAUUUUCAUUUAAGACUUGUCAAAUAACUUGGUAACAUUUAUAAAAAGCUAUGAUAAAAAUCUUGUAUAAUAAAACAAAAUUGUUAACACA